UUAUAUUAACAUCCUAGACACUCAUGUUCCCAAGGUGGAUGGACAACUGAAACUGUUGCUUUGCUGCCUAAAGGGAUCACUUUAAGGGUUAGGGUGUUGUAAUGGUCUCUCAGAGACCCUGAGUUAGGUUCUGAGCCCUCGCAUUGGGGGAAAGUGGCUCAUAACUGCCUGUAACUCCAGCUCCCGGGGCCUUUAGCCUCCAAGGCCACCUGCACUCAAGUACACAUGCCCACAUUCAGACAUACACAGAUAAUUAUAUAAUAAAAGUAAGACCUUUUUUUUUUUAAGAGGACAGUUUCCUCACUUCUUAGAUAUUUAGAAGUCAGCACAGACCCUGGCAUCUGAGUAUUUCCUGGAGUUUGUGGUGCAGAUCACUCUUGUACCACUUACAAAGCACAGCUCUUCCUAUUGACACGCGUGUUCUGAGGUGUCGCGAUGAGAAAAUCCAGCAUUGUCAGUGAAAGGUGGCUCGGGCCAUCCUCUUCUCUCCUCUUUGCAUUUUACAUGGAGCAGUGUGAUUAUUUUUCUCUCACAGGAAUAUUUCGCCCAUCUCAACUCCUUUCCAAAUGCUACUGACCCUGCAACUUCUGAACGGUUGCCAGAGAGAAACCGAGCUGAUGAGGUGAUCCUCGGGUCGGCUUUCUCCAGCCCUUACUCCUGCUCACGCGCAUGCGCGCCACUCCAAACAAGCUCCGACCAAGAGAAAGCCGUAUGUGCCCCACCCACCCACCCACCCACCGAACCUCGCUAGCCGCUGAGAAACAGUCCGGUCUCUGUGAGGUUAUCAAUCUUCCGAAUGUGAGGGGCAUUUUAUCUUUCUUCACACACGGUAGGUGAGGGAUCACACCUGUCCUCCGCAGCACCAAUGUGCGCUGGCUGGCGCAGCAUCGAUUUUACGCAACCAAGGGGAUGGAUUUAGAAACGUGUUCCUUGCCAGUUAUGUCUGCUUAUACAAAAUAAAUCCCCUUUGUUCAAGGGUGUUGAGAAGAGGUAAUCUGCUUCCAUGUAGCUGUUCCCUCAAACUCUUGACCUUUAUACCAAUCGUUCCUGGCCCCUGGGUGCCCGGAGUGGUUGAGUGGGACCGCUAAGGACACCAUUGAAGGGUGGCUCAUGACACAGACUAGGAUAUUCAGCAGAACAGCUACUUGGGUAUGAGUCUGUCCCAAAUGGGCUCUGGGUGUAAGUACAUUGUUUGUGUAUUACCUCCUCUGGGUCAAACUUGCUUAAAAUAGGUCCACAGGCCUGUCCCGUCCGGUCCCCCCCCCCCCCACUGUAUCCUGAAGCCCUUGCUAGAACCCAAGAGGCUAUGGGAGUCUAACCUGUUACAUUGUGUCUCCAUCUUUGAAUGCAUUAGGGUUGAUGCAGGCUUCAGAAAAACAACAACAAAAACAAAAACAAGUAUACUUUUCCUACUUUGUUUUGACGCAAGUAUAAAAAGGAGCUUCUUUUAUCCUUUAUAGAAAACUUCACAACAGUGAGUCUGGGGGCUUUAAUUCUGGGGAAGAACAUGCAUGUGAGUAUACGGAAGCCGAGUGAUUCCUAAGAAUAAGAAACAACCGUCUCUCAGGAUCCUUUCAAAGUCCCACCUUCCCAGCUAGACGCAACCUUUAAACUACCUGCCGCCUGGGCCCAGCACACCCAAGCAGGUGAUAGGGUAGCUGCCUGAAGGAACACAGACUCCGGGGUGUAGGUCAGGCCUGCGAUUUGGCAGGGGAGAACCUGAUCUGGCAAAGGCCGUGUGUUUCUUUUGUCUGUAUGGAAGCCAAGGAGAAGAAUUAAGGAACAUAAAUUCUGAGAGAUUAGAUUGGAUCAGAACAAGGCAGCUGUUGUUUUUGCCAGAGUUUAAAGGGCAUCGCAAAGGCCACCGGACCCAUUUCUGUUUUAUUUAGGGAUUUCCCCCUUUCUCAUUUGAACACUGUCACUCUUGUCUUUCUUGUACACGUGUGUCCCAAGACAGGGGGAGGGGGUGUCUAGACUGUGAAAAGGAUGGACAGCCGUUGUACUGGAGAGACGGUCCCCAGAGCUCACGAAGCUGCUAAACUUGAGAGCCUGUCGAGUUGCCAGGCCUCAAGUGCAUGGUUAGGACGUUUCUAGAAAAUGGUGAGUGAAUUUCUAGUGUCUCCUUUUCCUUCCAUUCUAAAAUACUCAUGGCCUUGAACUUAGGUUGACUAAAUGGACACACAAGAGGAGCUUCCCAAGUCUGAAUGUCUGAGACCCGAAGUUAAAAACCUUUGAGUGUCAACAGGCUGCCACAAGCAGAAAAUUCUAGAUCUCACCUCAUGUCACAAAGAGUCACGGUCAAAAUACAGAGGCGCUGUACAUACUGCACAAACCUACCUCCAGGCUCUGUAUGCACAGGGCUUAUGCAGUGUGAGCUUCCUGAUUAGACUUAGGUCCUGUUCCCACUGUAUCUCCGUAUGAAUAUGCAAAUAUUCCCAAAUCAGAAAAAAAAAAAAAACCUGAAAUCUAAAACACUUUUGUUCUUGAGAAUUCUGGGUAAGUGGUGUUCUCCCUGUACUGACUUUCCUGACUCUGACCUCUGAAUAUUACUGGAAGGGUCGCUGUCUUUCUUUUCUUCUUUUAAAAAUUUCCUGUCUCCUCUGCAUUGGUCUCUCCAAGUAUGGCUGUCUUCAUCUGGUUCAAGAGAACAGCUCAUCCUAGGUCCCCAGGACUCUUUCUACAGAAUGAAAGGCAGCUGCGGACAGGAAGUCUGUCUAAGAAUGGCGAGCGACUUCCUGUAUCCAGAGACUACCCUUGUAACCCCGUGCAGUGUGGCUUGCUGCGCGAUGGCUUUCCCCAUGGUCUGUCCCUCUCUGCAGCAGCUGGCUAUCUUUCCCGGUGAUGGACAGCUGUGGAAGUUGCUGGGAGUCCUGACCCGAGGAAUUUGCAGCCAGGCAAAGGUCUUUCGUCUCAGCAAUAGGAGGCAAGAGUGGAAGAAACAGUACCAUCAAGUCAGAGGCGUGGGAGAGCUCUCCAGCAGGUGUGUAGGGCAGUCAAAGCACAGGCGUCUCUGAAGUCUACACAAAGAGGGCACUGCUCUGGCCAAGUCACUAGAGGCCACGGAUCCCUCGGCUCAGACUCCGGGCACCUGGACAUGUGCUGGAAAGGGUCAAAGGAGGCAUCCAGAGCACCUGUUGUGUUGAAUACGGAGGAGUGAGUCCCCUUUGUGAAAUUACUCUGUGAGAGGGAUAUGAGAUUAAAGAACUAAUUAUGCUCCGAAGACCCUGGAGCUUAAGGGUGGGAGAGGCUCCCAGAAAGCUGGGCAACCGAG